rnacentral:miRNA from 1 species
ACACUGGUUCUCUCUGGCUCU